UACGUAGGGGGCAAGCGUUGUCCGGAAUUAUUGGGCGUAAAGCGCGCGCAGGCGGUUCGGUAAGUCUGAUGGUAAAGCCCGAGGCUCAACCUCGGUAUUCAUUGGAAACUGCCAGACUGGAGUGCAGGAGAGGGAAGCGGAAUUCCACGUGUAGCGGUGAAAUGCGUAGAGAUGUGGAGGAACACCAGUGGCGAAGGCGGCUUCCUGGCCUGUAACUGACGCUGAGGCGCGAAAGCGUGGGGAGCAAACAGG
rnacentral:rRNA from 1 species